UAAUAAACUAAAAUGAGUCCUCAGCUCUGACAGACCUCACACAUGGCCUUAGGUCUCUGGAACCUACUGAGAAGGCAGAUGGCCAACGGGCAAGAGGCUUGCCAGCACUUCUGUUCAUUGAACUCCCCUGGUCAUUUCCUGAGCCCAACCCAGCUGGCAAGCAGGGAGCCAGAGAGAGCCUGAGGCACUGGGGGAGGGUGGUAGAGGCAGCAGGAAGUGGGUGAGGGCAAGUGGGGCAGGGGCUGAGACUGGGAGGAGGCUGGGGAGAGUUGAGUGGGGGCGCGGAUGACUAUGGGUGUGUCCCUCAUGCCCCCCCCUGUGGGGACUGCAUCAGGGUCUCCCUCUCCUAGGCAUCUGGAGGUCAGGCCUGGUGCCUCUCUGCCUGCUGCACCUUGCAGAAUACUGGGCAGAAGAGGAAAAAAAGAAAGAAAAUGACAGUGAGGGCGGGUGGGCAGUCAGGAUGCCUUAGCAACAAAAGGCUGAGGACCCUGAGGGAGCAGCCCCACCUAGCUGGGCCUGUGUCCUGCUCAGCGCUUCUAGGGGUCCUGACCAAAGUCACCCCAAGCAGUGAUCUUCGAGGCCCUGCAGCUGCCCAAACCCUGCUCGCGGAUGCAGAGCUGAUGGCAAGGCACCCGACAAAGGCCCGCGAAGGAUGAUGAGAAAGCGUGGAAACGGCAAAGGACAAGAACGCUGCCCACAAAGGAAGCAGCAGCAGGAGGCGCAUCCUCGGGCUCCUUGCCGUGGUGGCCAGCCUUUUGGGAGCAAGGAUGGGACGGCGCAGCGACCCACCCGGGCCGGCAGGCCACACCGCUGCGGUUGGAAUACUGCCAAGGCCACGUGUCCCGGGAUCUCACAUCUAGGGUACAGAUCAGCUCUUCCCUGGCCAGUGGCAUUGUGACUGUUUCUGCCACUCUGUGGCUGCAACCCAUAGACCACGUGAUGAGAAAAGAAAGGCUUCGGAGCCCAUCCACAUGAGGAAUCAGAAGGACACGGUCACAGAAGGCAAGAUGGGAUCCUGAGCUGGAGGGGACAGUGCCACCAAGGACAGUCAUGUGUCACUUCUCUGUUACUUGAACUUGGUAAGUGUCCUGUACUGUGGUUUUGUGAGAGGAUAUGCCUGAGGUGUUAGGUACCAAAGGACACCAGGCUUGCAAACCACUCUGAGGUCAGGAACAAAGAAUUUGUACAGAUGUUAAAAAAAAAAAUUAAAAGUGUACAUUUCUUCCAUGUGAUGCCAGCUGGUGAUUUCUUCCUACUCCCCUCCAUUUUCCAAUUUCUCUACAAUAUACUCUAUUGAUACAAUAGGAAAAAUGGGUUGUGUCAAAAGUUUGAUCAAAAAUAAAAAGACAUUCUAACAAAGACAG
rnacentral:lncRNA from 1 species